AAAACAUUCGGACCGUCGGGUUUGAGCAAUAUCACCCGCUCGGUGAAAGAUCUUCCUUUUCUCGU
rnacentral:pre_miRNA from 1 species